GAGUUUGAUCGUGGCUCAGAUUGAACGCUGGCGGCAGGCCUAACACAUGCAAGUCGAGCGGAUGACGGGAGCUUGCUCCUUGAUUCAGCGGCGGACGGGUGAGUAAUGCCUAGGAAUCUGCCUGGUAGUGGGGGACAACGUUUCGAAAGGAACGCUAAUACCGCAUACGUCCUACGGGAGAAAGCAGGGGACCUUCGGGCCUUGCGCUAUCAGAUGAGCCUAGGUCGGAUUAGCUAGUUGGUGGGGUAAUGGCUCACCAAGGCGACGAUCCGUAACUGGUCUGAGAGGAUGAUCAGUCACACUGGAACUGAGACACGGUCCAGACUCCUACGGGAGGCGGCAGUGGGGAAUAUUGGACAAUGGGCGAAAGCCUGAUCCAGCCAUGCCGCGUGUGUGAAGAAGGUCUUCGGAUUGUAACGCACGUUUAAGUUGGGAGGAAGGGCAGUAAGUUAAUACCUUGCUGUUUGACGUUACCGACAGAAUAAGCACGGCUAACUCUGUGCCAGCAGCCGACGG
rnacentral:rRNA from 1 species